UGCGUAGGCGGCUUUGUGUGUCGGUUGUGAAAGCCUGUGGCUCAACCACAGAACUGCGACCGAAACUACAGAGCUAGAGUGCAGGAUGGGAGAGCGGAAUUCUUGGUGUAGCGGUGAAAUGCGUUGAUAUCAAGAAGAACACCGGCGGCGAAGGCGGCUCUCUGGAAUGUCACUGACGCUGAGGCACGAAAGCUGGGGGAGCAAACAGGAUUAGAUACCCUGGUAGUCC
rnacentral:rRNA from 1 species